rnacentral:lncRNA from 1 species
GCAAUGGUUAUUUCCAGAGGUGGGAGGUACAUGUUGGGGAAUUAUGACUAGAAGACCAUUUUAGUCUUAUCUGCAAUGUUUUAUGAUUUUAUAGGAGGAAUAUAUUCAUGUAUUUCUUAUCUAAUGAAAUCAUAUGGUUUACAUGUAUGAGAUUUUAAGGCAGAGCAUUUGUAUACAUGUGAGUACGUAUAUGGGAAUAUGCAGUAAGAAUAUGCAGUGUUGGUGAUAUUUCAAAUGUGUGAACACUCAACAAUUGGAGAAAAAUUCUUAGGCAAGCUGUCAGCCAGCUCAGCUCGCCUCCUCCAGAAAGCCUUCCCCCACUGUCGCCCUACAUUGGUCUUGCUCUUCUUGCAUGCCACCUUCAGCAUCGCCCCUUUUCUCACCACACCUUUCUCCCUCUCAGCAUCUCUCUGUCCAGCCUCAUACAACCCUGAAAUAAGCACUAUCCCAACAUUUCGUUCAAAUCUUCUGCCUCAGAGGCACAAGCCUAAGUGCCUUACCCCAUU